AAAUGCGAUAAGUAGUGUGAAUUGCAGAAUUCAGUGAAUCAUCGAAUCUUUGAACGCACAUUGCGCCCUUUGGUAUUCCAAAGGGCAUGCCUGUUCGAGCGUCAUUUGUACCCUCAAGCUUUGCUUGGUGUUGGGCGUCUUGUCUCUAGCUUUGCUGGAGACUCGCCUUAAAGUAAUUGGCAGCCGGCAUACUGGUUUCGGAGCGCAGCACAAGUCGCACUCUCUAUCAGCAAAGGUCUAGCAUCCAUUAAGCCUUUUUUCAACUUUUGACCUCGGAUCAGGUAGGGAUACCCGCUGAACUUAAGC
rnacentral:misc_RNA from 1 species